GGAGGAGGCGAGAGAAAAAGAAAGGAUCUCACAUCAUAUAUCAGAGGUGACGGGAGGUGACAGUAGAGGUGACGGGAGGUGACAGUAGAGAUGACGGGAGGUGACAGUAGAGGUGACGGGAGGUGACGGUUGUGACAGUAGCGGUGACGCGAGGUGACAGGAGGUGACAGUAGACGUGACGGGAGAGGUGAUGGGAGGUGACGGGAAGUGACAGUAGAGAUGACGGGAGGUGACAGUAGAGGUGAUGGGAGGUGACGGUAGAGGUGAUGGGAGGUAACAGUAGAGGUGAUGGGAGGUAACAGUAGAGGUGAUGGGAGGUAACAGUAGAGGUGAUGGGAGGUAACAGUAGAGGUGAUGGGGGAUGACAGUAGAGGUAACAGUAGAGGUGAUGGGAGGUAACAGUAGAGGUGAUGGGAGGUAACAGUAGAGGUAACAGUAGAGGUGAUGGGAGGUAACAGUAGAGGUGAUGGGAGGUAACAGUAGAGGUGAUGGGAGGUAACAGUAGAGGUGAUGGGAGGUAACAGUAGAGGUGAUGGGGGAUGACAGUAGAGAUAACAGUAGAGGUGAUGGGAGGUAACAGUAGAGGUGAUGGGAGGUAACAGUAGAGGUGAUGGGAGAUAACAGUAGAGGUGAUGGGAGAUAACAGUAGAGGUGAUGGGGGAUGACAGUAGAGAUAACAGUAGAGGUGAUGGGAGAUAACAGUAGAGGUGAUGGGAGAUAACAGUAGAGGUGAUGGGAGGUAACAGUAGAGGUGAUGGGAGGUAACAGUAGAGGUGAUGGGAGGUAACAGUAGAGGUGAUGGGAGGUAACAGUAGAGGUGAUGGGAGGUAACAGUAGAGGUGAUGGGAGGUAACAGUAGAGGUGAUGGGAGGUAACAGUAGAGGUGAUGGGAGGUAACAGUAGAGGUGAUGGGGGAUGACAGUAGAGAUAACAGUAGAGGUGAUGGGAGGUAACAGUAGAGGUGAUGGGAGGUAACAGUAGAGGUGAUGGGAGGUAACAGUAGAGGUGAUGGGGGAUGACAGUAGAGAUAACAGUAGAGGUGAUGGGAGGUAACAGUAGAGGUGAUGGGAGGUAACAGUAGAGGUGAUGGGGGAUGACAGUAGAGAUAACAGUAGAGGUGAUGGGAGAUAACAGUAGAGGUGAUGGGAGGUAACAGUAGAGGUGAUGGGAGGUAACAGUAGAGGUGAUGGGAGGUAACAGUAGAGGUGAUGGGAG